rnacentral:rRNA from 1 species
GACGAACGCUGGCGGCGUGCCUAAUACAUGCAAGUCGAACGAACCGCGACUAAGUGCUUGCACUAAGUCAAGGUGAGUGGCGAACGGGUGAGUAACACGUGGGUAACCUACCUCAUAGUGGGGGAUAACAGUCGGAAACGACUGCUAAUACCGCAUAGGACAUAGGAUCACAUGAUCCAGUGAGGAAAGGUGGCGCAAGCUAUCGCUAAGAGAUGGACCCGCGGUGCAUUAGCUAGUUGGUAGGGUAAAGGCCUACCAAGGCGAUGAUGCAUAGCCGACCUGAGAGGGUGCUCGGCCCCAUUGGGACUGAGACACCGCCCAUACUCCUACGGGAGGCAGCAGUCGGGAAUCUUCCGCAAUGGAAGCAAGUCUGCCGGAGCAACGCCGCGUGAGUGAAGCAGGUCUUAGGAUCGUAAAGCUCUGCUGUUCGAGAAGAACAGCGCAUAGAGUAACUGCUAUGCGUGUGACGGUCUCUAACCAGCAAGCCACGGCUAACUCCGUG